AACGAACGCUGGCGGCAUGCCUAACACAUGCAAGUCGAACGAGCCCAUCGGGUCUAGUGGCGCACGAGUGCGUAACGCGUCGGAACCUGCCCUUAGGUUCGGCAUAACUCCACGACAGGGGUGCUAAUACCGGACAAUGUCUUCGGGCCAAAGAUUUAUUGCCCUUGGAUGUGCCCGCGUUGGAUUCGCUGGUUGGUAGGGUAAAAGCCUAACAAGGCGACCAUCCAUAGCUGGGCUGAGAGGCUGCUCACCCACACUGAGACUGAGACCCGGCCGAGACUCCUACGGGAUGCAGCAGUGGGGAAUGGUGCACCGUCGGCUGAGUCCUGAACCACCACUGCCCGGUGAGCGAUGAAGUCCGGAGAGUUGAAAUGUGUUAUUACCUGUGCUGAUAUUGACGGUACCGGGAGAAUAAGCCCCGGCUAACUCCGUG
rnacentral:rRNA from 1 species